AAAAUCAACUGGGGAUGGGCUCUGGUCACAGCCAGCAAGAACUGAGACUCUCAGUCCAGCAACUCACAAGGAACUGAAUCCUGCUGAGAACCACAUGAGCUUGGAAGUAGGAUCUUCCCAGUCAGACCUUCAGAUAAGAUUCCAGUACUGGCCAACACCUUGACUGCAGCCUCAUGAGAACGUCUACAACAGAAGACUCAGCUAAUCCAUGCUCAGAUUAUUGAGCCACAGAAACUACUAGGUCUCGACCGUGUUCUUGGAUCUUCACCUGCAAUCCUGUGCUGUGGCCCAAUCUAUGGAGAUACUUGACUCUGCUAUGAAACUGUGUUUGCAAGCUCUUGGCCUCUAGAAGAGGGAAGCCAGGGAAGCAGAGCUCCAAACAGACCCUGUCUUUGAGAAAGUGCUCACAGCGCUACCAAACACAACCUCCACUUUGUCUCGGCGAUGACUUCAAGCCCUGCAAAACUCUCUUUAUAGAAGUUACAGGCGAGGAGGCCAGAAUAAGGUGAAGCCACCACUCAUGGCUCUGGGAGAACUUUGGGUCCUCAAUCUCAGCGACUUUGACUCCUGCUGACUUGAAUACAGGGAGGGAAUCCACCGAUUGUCUCUGCUCUCCAGGGCCCCCAUAUGGACUGCAUUACUCAGGUGGGCAACUAAUUUGGUGUUUGCCACACUGUCAUUAACCCAUUGUGUGAGUGUUCGCUGUAGCUUCUCUGAAUUGCACCUUCCCUAGAAGG
rnacentral:lncRNA from 13 species